GUGGCGAACGGGUGAGUAACACGUGAGCAAUCUGCCCUUGACUCUGGGAUAACUGGGGGAAACUGUAGCUAAUACCGGAUACUUUCCUCGCUGGGCAUCCAGCGGGGAAGAAAGAAUUUCGGUCAAGGAUGAGCUCGCGGCCUAUCAGCUAGUUGGUGAGGUAAUGGCUCACCAAGGCGACGACGGGUAGCCGGCCUGAGAGGGUGACCGGCCACACUGGAACUGAGACACGGUCCAGACUCCUACGGGAGGCAGCAGUGGGGAAUAUUGCACAAUGGGCGAAAGCCUGAUGCAGCAACGCCGCGUGAGGGAUGAAGGCCUUCGGGUUGUAAACCUCUUUUAGCAGGGAAGAAGCGAAAGUGACGGUACCUGCAGAAAAAGCACCGGCUAACUACGUGCCAGCAGCCGCGGUAAUACGUAGGGUGCAAGCGUUGUCCGGAAUUAUUGGGCGUAAAGAGCUCGUAGGCGGUUUGUCACGUCUGCUGUGAAAAUCCGAGGCUCAACCUCGGACUUGCAGUGGGUACGGGCAGGCUAGAGUGCGGUAGGGGAGAAGGGAAUUCCUGGUGUAGCGGUGGAAUGCGCAGAUAUCAGGAGGAACACCAAUGGCGAAGGCACUUCUCUGGGCCGUAACUGACGCUGAGGAGCGAAAGCGUGGGGAGCGAACAGGAUUAGAUACCCUGGUAGUCCAC
rnacentral:rRNA from 1 species